rnacentral:lncRNA from 1 species
CUACCGGAGGUGGGGGAGGAGCAUCUUUCCGACAAGAAGAGUGCCUCGCCGAUCCGAUCAAACGUUGGGCUUUGAUUUUCGACAUGAUUGAUUGCAGAUUUUUUCAACCCCUUCCUGACGCACCAAUCUGUUGCGGUCAACUUUCUGUCGCUUAUUGCCGGUGAUAAGCACCUGCAAAAUAGUGUCCUCACAAACUGGAGUUGUGUUUGGCGGGGACCC